rnacentral:piRNA from 1 species
UGACAAAAAACUAUUCAGGACACCAUCUC